rnacentral:rRNA from 1 species
CCUACGGGAGGCAGCAGUGGGGGAUAUUGCACAAUGGUGGGAACCCUGAUGCAGCGACGCCGCGUGUGGGAAGACGGUCCUCUGGAUUGUAAACCACUGUCCCCAGGGACGAAAAUGACGGUACCUGGGGAGGAAGCUCCGGCUAACGACGUGCCCGCAGCCGCGGUAAUACGCAGGGAGCGAGCGUUGUCCGGAAUUACUGGGUGUAAAGGGGGCGUAGGCGGGGAGGCAAGUUGCGUGUCAAAACUACCGGCUCAACUGGUAGUCGCACUUAAAACUGAAACUCUUGAGUGAAGUAGAGGCAGGCGGAAUUCCUGGUGUAGCGGUGAAAUGCGUAGAUAUUAGGAAGAACACCAGUGGCGAAGGCGGCCUGCUGGGCUUUUACUGACGCUGAGGCUCGAAAGUGUGGGGAGCAAACAGGAUUAGAUACCCCUGUAGUC